AUAUUUUGCAGCGAUUUGAAGCGUGGAGGAAGAAUUGAAGGGCAAUGUUGCGAGCUACGGCUAGAUGAAGGAACUCGUUUGCGUGGUCGCCCAUUAGUACUUUUGCAGGCGCUAUUAGUUGAGGUCGGGCGUACAUGGAUCGAGGCAUAGUUGACGAAUAGCUUCCGCGCUUCUUUGUUUGGCUCUGAUCUAUUGUGGGUUACUAUUUUGGGUAGUCCUCUUUAGGGGUGACUCGACCAGUUC